rnacentral:rRNA from 1 species
UGAGGAAUAUUGGUCAAUGGACGAGAGUCUGAACCAGCCAAGUAGCGUGCAGGAUGACGGCCCUAUGGGUUGUAAACUGCUUUUGUUUGGGAAUAAUCGACAUUACGUGUAAUGUUUUGCAUGUACCAUUCGAAUAAGGACCGGCUAAUUCCGUGCCAGCAGCCGCGGUAAUACGGAAGGUCCAGGCGUUAUCCGGAUUUAUUGGGUUUAAAGGGAGUGUAGGCGGUUGGUUAAGCGUGUUGUGAAAUGUAGAUGCUCAACAUCUGACUUGCAGCGCGAACUGGCUGACUUGAGUACACACAACGUAGGCGGAAUUCAUGGUGUAGCGGUGAAAUGCUUAGAUAACAUGAAGAACUCCGAUUGCGAAGGCAGCUUACGGGAGUGUUACUGACGAUUAAGCUCGAAGGUGCGGGUAUCGAACAGG